UUAAAAAGCUCGUAGUUGGAUUUCUGUGAGAGUAUGAUGUCCUAACGUGUUUAGAGCGCAGAAAACUCUUGCAUCCUUCUGUUACCUCCACGUGGCAUUCGCUUGCCAGUGGUUGGCUCAGAGAAUUUACCUUGAGAAAAUUAGAGUGUUUCAGGCAGGCUUAGUCGGAAUACAUUAGCAUGGAAUAAUAGAAUAGGACUCCGGUCUCGUUGUUGGUUUGAGGGACUGUAGUAAUGAUUAAUAGGGAUAGUUGGGGGCAUUAGUAUUCGGUUGUCAGAGGUGAAAUUCUCAGAUUUAUUGAAGACUAACUUAUGCGAAAGCACUUGCCAAGGAUGUUUUCAUUAAUCAGAACGAAAGUUAAGGGAUCGAAGACGAUCAGAUACCGUCGUAGUCUUAACCAUAAACUAUGCCGACUAAAGAU
rnacentral:rRNA from 1 species